rnacentral:rRNA from 1 species
GACGAACCGUGCGAACGUUGUUCGGAAUCAUUGGGCUUAAAGGGCGCGUAGGCGGGCUGGCCAGUCCGGGGUGAAAGCCCACGGCUCAACCGUGGAAGUGCCUUGGAUACUGCCAGUCUUGAGGGAGGUAGGGGCGUGCGGAACUUCCGGUGGAGCGGUGAAAUGCGUAGAUAUCGGAAGGAACACCGGUGGCGAAAGCGGCGCGCUGGACCUCUUCUGACGCUGAGGCGCGAAAGCCAGGGGAGCAAACGGG